GUAGGGAAUAUUGGGCAAUGGAUGAAAGUCUGACCCAGCCAUGCCGCGUGCCGGAUGAAGGCGCUCAGCGUUGUAAACGGCUUUUAUUCGGGAAGAAGAGCAGGGAUGCGUCCCUGUGUGACGGUACCGAAUGAAUAAGCACCGGCUAACUCCGUGCCAGCAGCCGCGGUAAUACGGAGGGUGCGAGCGUUGUCCGGAUUGAUUGGGUUUAAAGGGUGCGGAGGUGGCCAAAUAAGUCAGUGGUGAAAUACGGUUGAUCAACAAUCGAGGUGCCAUUGAUACUGCUUGGCUUGAAAUAAUUGGAGGCUGCCGGAAUGGAUGGUGUAGCGGUGAAAUGCAUAGAUAUCAUCCAGAACACCGAUUGCGAAGGCAGGUGGCUACGAUUUAUUUGACACUGAGGCACGAAAGCAUGGGGAGCAAACAGGAUUAGAUACCCCUGUAGUCC
rnacentral:rRNA from 1 species